rnacentral:rRNA from 1 species
ACGAUGGAUAGGGGUUCUGAGAGGAAGGUCCCCCACAUUGGUACUGAGACACGGACCAAACUCCUACGGGAGGCAGCAGUGAGGAAUAUUGGUCAAUGGGCGUAAGCCUGAACCAGCCAAGUCGCGUGAGGGAUGAAGGUUCUAUGGAUCGUAAACCUCUUUUAUAAGGGAAUAAAGUGUGGGACGUGUCCUAUUUUGUAUGUACCUUAUGAAUAAGGAUCGGCUAACUCCGUGCCAGCAGCCGCGGUAAUACGGAGGAUCCGAGCGUUAUCCGGAUUUAUUGGGUUUAAAGGGUGCGUAGGCGGCCUUUUAAGUCAGCGGUGAAAGUCUGUGGCUCAACCAUAGAAUUGCCGUUGAAACUGGGGGGCUUGAGUAUGUUUGAGGCAGGCGGAAUGCGUGGUGUAGCGGUGAAAUGCUCAGAUAUCACGCAGAACCCCGAUUGCGAAGGCAGCCUGCCAAGCCAUGACUGACGCUGAUGCACGAAAGCGUGGGGAUCAAACAGGAUUAGAUACCCUGGUAGUCCACGCAGUAAACGAUGAUCACUAGCUGUUUGCGAUAC